AUUGAACGCUGGCGGCAUGCCUUACACAUGCAAGUCGAACAGCAGCGCGGGAGCAAUCCUGGCGGCGAGUGGCGAACGGGUGAGUAAUAUAUCGGAACGUGCCCAGUAGUGGGGGAUAGCCCGGCGAAAGCCGGAUUAAUACCGCAUACGACCUACGGGUGAAAGGGGGGGAUCGCAAGACCUCUCGCUAUUGGAGCGGCCGAUAUCAGAUUAGGUAGUUGGUGGGGUAAAGGCCUACCAAGCCUGCGAUCUGUAGUUGGUCUGAGAGGACGACCAGCCACACUGGGACUGAGACACGGCCCAGACUCCUACGGGAGGCAGCAGUGGGGAAUUUUGGACAAUGGGCGCAAGCCUGAUCCAGCAAUGCCGCGUGCAGGAAGAAGGCCUUCGGGUUGUAAACUGCUUUUGUCAGGGAAGAAAUCCUCUAGGCUAAUACCUUGGGGGGAUGACGGUACCUGAAGAAUAAGCACCGGCUAACUACGUGCCAGCAGCCGCCGUAAUAC
rnacentral:rRNA from 1 species